rnacentral:rRNA from 1 species
CCCUUAGAUGUUCUGGGCCGCACGCGUGCUACACUGAGUAAUUCAAUGGGUAAGGGAACGCUAGAGCAUUACCUAAUCUUGAAAUUUGCUCGUGAUGGGGAUCGACGGUUGCAAUUUUCCGUCGUGAACGAGGAAUACCUUGUAGGCGCAUGUCAUCAUCAUGCGCCGAAUACGUCCCUGCCCUUUGUACACACCGCCCGUCGCUCCUACCGAUUGAGUGAUCCAGUGAGGCUCUGGGACCUGGACGGAAAGAGCGUUUCGCUUGUUCUGUUUGGGAAACUUGGUCGAACCUUAUCAUUUAGAGGAAGGAGAAGUCGUAACA